ACCCUGGACUCUCUGGCACGCAGUGUCAUUUGCUAUGUCUGUGUGAAAGUGAGGCCAGUGUGGU
rnacentral:pre_miRNA from 1 species